UAGGGAAUCUUCGGCAAUGGACGAAAGUCUGACUGAGCAACGCCGCGUGAGCGAAGAAGGUUUUCGGAUCGUAAAACUCUGUUGUUAGAGAAGAACAAGGACGUUAGUAACUGAACGUCCCCUGACGGUAUCUAACCAGAAAGCCACGGCUAACUACGUGCCAGCAGCCGCGGUAAUACGUAGGUGGCAAGCGUUGUCCGGAUUUAUUGGGCGUAAAGCGAGCGCAGGCGGUUUCUUAAGUCUGAUGUGAAAGCCCCCGGCUCAACCGGGGAGGGUCAUUGGAAACUGGGAGACUUGAGUGCAGAAGAGGAGAGUGGAAUUCCAGGUGUAGCGGUGAAAUGCGUAGAUAUAUGGAGGAACACCAGUGGCGAAGGCGGCUCUCUGGUCUGUAACUGACGCUGAGGCUCGAAAGCGUGGGGAGCAAACAGG
rnacentral:rRNA from 1 species